UACGGAGGAUCCAAGCGUUAUCCGGAAUCAUUGGGUUUAAAGGGUCCGUAGGCGGUCUAGUAAGUCAGUGGUGAAAGCCCAUCGCUCAACGGUGGAACGGCCAUUGAUACUGCUGGACUUGAAUUAUUGGGAAGCAACUAGAAUAUGUAGUGUAGCGGUGAAAUGCUUAGAGAUUACAUGGAAUACCGAUUGCGAAGGCAGGUUGCUACCAAUUGAUUGACGCUGAUGGACGAAAGCGUGGGUAGCGAACAGG
rnacentral:rRNA from 1 species